AUGGAAGGCCUACUACACUGGGAUUUCAACCCUGGCCUUGCGGUGGCCGAUCAGGUACGUCGUCGGUUUGGAGAAACGGUCCAUUUCUCUCCAUCACAUCCCGAAUUUUUCUUGGUGGUUUCAUUCUCUUCGGCAUCAUUCCCUCACUCUGAGGAAUCUGUGGGUGUGGCUCUCCAAUGCUGCAUUAGUGGUCAUCACAAAGGAUUUAAGGUAUCUCGAAUCAUUGAGAGGUCCUUCCGUUUCUCUGUGGCUGGUAACAAAGUUGGUCAUUUUAUUCAUGGCCUUAAGGAACGUAUUUGGCCAGAUUUCAUUUGUCACUUUCACUUGUUCAAUGUCCGUUUCAAUGGUUUUAAGCAUUUUGAUUCUCAGUGGCAUGCUGAUGAAAGGUUGAAAAUUAUUGCUAGUCGCAGCCCCAUGGCAAUUCAUGUUGACAAAGCCGCUAUCAUGCAUUCUAAGGGCGCCGAUCUGGCUUCUGCCAAGGAACUAUGCAAAUUUGGUCUCAUUCCGCUUACAUCAAUGGAUUUCAAUGACCAGCAUUGCCAUGAAGCUUCUAGUUCAUCCAUGGCCCCGACUCGAGCUCCCCCCCACAGAUUGCACGCCGAGCAUGCAGCCAUCAUCGGGACAUAA
rnacentral:rRNA from 1 species